rnacentral:rRNA from 1 species
CCUACGGGAGGCAGCAGUGGGGAAUAUUGGGCAAUGGGCGCAAGCCUGACCCAGCAACGCCGCGUGAAGGAAGAAGGCUUUCGGGUUGUAAACUUCUUUUCUGAGGGACGAUGAAAGUGACGGUACCUCAGGAAUAAGCCACGGCUAACUACGUGCCAGCAGCCGCGGUAAUACGUAGGUGGCAAGCGUUAUCCGGAUUUAUUGGGUGUAAAGGGCGAGUAGGCGGGAAAACAAGUCAGAUGUGAAAACUCAGGGCUCAACCCUGGGCCUGCAUUUGAAACUGUUUUGCUUGAGUGCAGGAGGGGCAAGCGGAAUUCCGGGUGUAGCGGUGAAAUGCGUAGAUAUACGGAGGAACACCAGUGGCGAAGGCGGAUUGCUGGACAGUAACUGACGCUGAGGCUCGAAAGCGUGGGGAGCAAACAGGAUUAGAUACCCCAGUAGUC